rnacentral:lncRNA from 1 species
GACUUAGAAUGUGGCUUCCCUUGUGCUCCGAUACGCUUUUGCUCUUCUGGAAAACUCCUUCCUGUACAAUCAUGGCUGUGCUAGUGUUACUUGCUGGAAGCUUUUAGCUUGAGCUUUUCCAAGCCAUAAACCCUCACGUUCUUUCUUUCUGUCUCCUUGGAAGUCACUCGGUGUAGAGAGGCUGCUUAAGGCACCUGCCUGAGUGGAAACCUUCCAGAACCUUAUGUCUUUAUUUUAAGUUACUGUGUGUUUUGGUGUUUUUACUCUGUUUUACAUACAUCAGAUACUGAAAUAAGAAUCUGAGACGCCAAUCCAGACUUGUAGUGUGUGUGGCAUAAGAAAAGAGUAAAAAGGAAUUAAACCAUUGUCAGUCUCAGGUUUAUAAAACACAGUUCUGUGUGCGUGCUGAUUACAUGUUUGUUUGUCGUCGUCUGCACCCGUGGACAGUCUUUAUUAAGUAUUAAACUUAUCUCCUUGUGUCAGAUAACUUUCCCCAGAUGGCUCAUCAGAAGCGGUUCAUUGAACGGAAA